rnacentral:misc_RNA from 1 species
GAAUUCAACACACAGGUGUUCUUGAAAGCAUAUUUCCCUUGGGUCUGCAGGACUUAUACAUUACAUUACAUCUUGAAACAGAUAAAGAGAGUAAGCACGAUGGAGUUAACAAUGAGAGUGUUAAAAGAGAAUUUACUGUACAGGCUUCUGUACAUGAAAAAAGAAAAACAAUCGAAUUGACUAAUCCCUCGGAAAAUAUACCGUCUAGAGUCGAAAGCUAAUUACUCGGGCCUGCAUGACCACGGCCUUGUGAAUAGUUAUUCAAAUGGUCGAUGGUUAAGUCUAAAUGCCCUAAUGUUUCCACACCAGAUUUUAUUCAUCAUCCAGUUCCACGAGCUGUGCACGCCUCUCAGCUGCCUUCUUCCGCACAAAGAACCCCCACCUCAUUGCAGCCUUAAUUUUCAGCCAACCAACAACAGCUUUUCCUGGCCGUGUGCGGUCUUCAUCAUAACUGAAACUAGGAGAUGGCGAAGGCAUGAAAGAUGGGAAACCAUAUCCAUCUUCAGGCACAUUUAUAGAACCAUGGCCUCCCAUGCUGAAAAGUCUUAGCAAAUGUUGCAUAUCAUCAUUCUCAAGAAUUUCAUUGCUUCUCAUUCGAAUUUCCUCCUCAGACAAGAAUUCGUCAACUCCCUUGUCCCUGUUGUGCGACCAAUCAUCAAAAGGAUUAAGAUUGGUUUGUGGGAGAGAUGAGGUAAUUGUCUGGAAUGAAGAUGAUUGUGGAGGACCAAGAGCCAGGCCAACAUUGUUGUCAUAUCUCGUACUCUGGAGCUGAUGACUGCUGGUUAUUUGGUGCUGAGGCGCAAAUGGAGUGCUCUCAAACUGUGAGCGGGAAUUAGAAUUCAUCAUAGGACUUUGGGUAGGCAUCCUAGCAACCAUGUUGUCAUUGUAACCUGAACCUCCAAUUAGCAAGUUGGGAUCCAUAGAAGAUUGCUCGGAUUGAACUGGAACAGGAUGGCGUGACUGCGGAAGCUGAUUAACCAAGGUGUUGGGGUAAUCCACUGGCCCAACAGGAAGCUCGUUCCUAGAAGAGCUUGGAUUUUGAUUUUGCUUGAUGUUCAGAAAUGACUUGCCAUCAUAUUCAACGACUUGAUUCCAAUUAUCAUAUGCCUUCUUGACCAAAGAAUCUACGUAUACCUUCUGGCUGUCUGAAAGUGAAUCUGCCGAAUAGUAUUGUUCACCAGCUAUAAGGCCAUUCAGCUCAUAAAUAUUGUUGAAAACAACACCAACGUUCCUCGAAUCAUCAGAAUAAUAGACAUAAAGCUUCCCACUCAAGACACAGGUCUUUGCAUGCUCUAUUAGAGCCUCCCACAUCUUAUUUGACAUACCACUUCCAAGGAUACUUCUUAGUUUCUGUGGGUCUCGGACCACAAGCCUAAGGAAGUCUUCAACAGUAAAUAUCCCGGCCUUGUUUAGCCUCUUGUGGAAAGAACCAUCCUUGCCAAUCUUCUCCAAU